GGAGUGGAUUGCAGCCAGGGAUGACUUGCUGAGGAUGUUGCUGGCAAAGGAUUACUAAUCUUUUAAGGCCUUCCAACGAUGAAUUAGCAAGUUGUCCCUGGCUACAUUUUGCUUUCU
rnacentral:pre_miRNA from 1 species